rnacentral:rRNA from 1 species
AUGCGUCGCGAUAGAAAGCUCCGACGCCUAAGGAUGGGUCUGCGGCCUAUCAGGGUAGUAGUGGGUGUAGUGUACCUACUAGCCUACGACGGGUACGGGUUGUGAGAGCAAGAGCCCGGAGAUGGAUUCUGAGACACGAAUCCAGGCCCUACGGGGUGCAGCAGGCGCGAAAACUUUACAAUGCUGGCAACAGCGAUAAGGGGACCUCGAGUGCCAGGAUACAAUCCUGGCUGUCGUAAUGCCUAAAAAGCAUUGCAUAGCAAGGGCCGGGCAAGACCGGUGCCAGCCGCCGCGGUAACACCGGCGGCUCGAGUGGUAACCGCUAUUAUUGGGUCUAAAGGGUCUGUAGCCGGCUGAAUAAGUCUCUUGGGAAAUCUGGCAGCUUAACUGUCAGGCUUUCAGGAGAUACUGUUCGGCUCGAGACCGGGAGAGGUGAGAGGUACCUCAGGGGUAGGGGUGAAAUCUUGUAAUCCUUGAGGGACCACCAGUGGCGAAGGCGUCUCACCAGAACGGAUCUGACGGCAAGGGACGAAAGCUAGGGGCACGAACCGGAUUAGAUACCCGGGUAGUCCUAGCCGUAAACGAUACUCGCUAGGUGUCGGCCACGGUGCGACCGUGGUCGGUGCCGUAGGGAAGCCGUG